ACGGAGGGUCCAAGCGUUGUCCGGAAUUAUUGGGUUUAAAGGGUGCGUAGGCGGUCUUUUAAGUCAGAGGUGAAAUCCUACAGCUUAACUGUAGAACGGCCUUUGAUACUGGAAGACUUGAGUAUACUAGAGGCAGGCGGAAUUUAUGAUGUAGCGGUGAAAUGCAUAGAUAUCAUAAAGAACACCGAUAGCGAAGGCAGCUUGCUGGAGUAUAACUGACGCUGAGGCACGAAAGCGUGGGUAGCGAACAGG
rnacentral:rRNA from 1 species